GUCCCGUUCGUCUAGAGGCCCAGGACACCAGCCUUUCACGUUGGUAACACGGGUUCGAAUCCCGUACGGGACGCCA
rnacentral:tRNA from 2 species